UAGCGAUUUCUUGUUCAUUUAUUUACAAGUGUGCUAACGUCCUUUAUUUUUAAACAAUACACUACCCUUGUUUGAAGAAGGGUAGUCUAAAGUCAAAUUUCUUUGCUCCUUUUUGUACUAGUGAAGCAUGAUAUAGAGGCCUACACGAGGG